CUUGAAUAAUUGACGCCCUACCUUCCAAGGAUAUAUAUAGCAGACCAUGAUAGCUGGUGAUCGGUAUUUUUAUUGGAAGUUAGCUAGCAAGUAUCAUUCCUUGUCAGAACGCGCCUCCUAACCAUUGCCAUUCCAUUAUUCCAUAGGUGGACGCACGUGUUGAUCGUGCCUAAAGUGCCUUCAAUUCUUGACUUCUCAUGCCCUGGGAACCAAUGUUCAGAGCAAUGGAAGUGACGAUGACCAAUUCUGUUCUCAUGCUUGCGGGUUGCGGAUUCCAUUUAUGCUUUCAGCAUGGAAAUUUAGUCCCGCGUAUUUGAAAAGCUGAAGAAUAGCCCCUAAAGUUCUGUUCUAGUGGCAAUCAUGUUUUUGUUUGUGCUGUGACAUUAGACUAUCCUACUAACUACAGAACUUAAGAUCUGCAGCUAAUUUGCAAAAGGAAAGCAUUUUGAACUACCUGUUUUUAUAUGGAAUGUAAGAGAGUGACAAUAAGAUUUUAGCGAAGACUGAGAACGUGUAAUAUUAUUGUGUGAAUUUGGACAAAAUAUGAGCUGUCAAUUGGAUGUAAAACCGUCCAAAAGAACACAUAACCAAACAAGGAGACAGGAUAUAACAAUUUUAUUAAGAAAAAGAAAAUCUGCAAAAUAGUAAAGAGAACCCAAUCUGUCUUCUCUCUUGCUCUCUUUGAUAUGAGGAUUCGUAAAAAUGGGGAGUUCUCUCCACUCAUGUUCCUGGAAAGUACAUUGGGACCCCACCAAACAGUUCCAAAAACCAUUUGCCAACUAAACCAGUCUCCGUGGGACGUGAUUCCAUUCUCUAAAGAGAUUUGUUCACCUUCUCUUCACCAGGUUAAUCUGAGUUCUCUCCUCUCUUUCCACACUUAAUUUUAGCUUGAUCAAUUUAACUCUAUCCAUCAAUUAAUCAUUUCCAUACCUACAUUUUCUCUAUGUAUAUCUUUCUAGGGUUUUGAAGGGUGCCGCUGUCUUGUUUCAUUAAGCGUAUUUUCUUUCUUGGUUUUGUCGUGUGUUGGCCUGUAAAUGGCAGAUUAGGUUAAUAUUAUGUACCUUUCUCAAUAUUUAUUUUAUCAUCCUUUGGUUCGCUACUUAAUGCUGUUUUGGUUUUAUUUAUACUUUUUUCUUUUUAGUUUGGAGAAGGAGAUCAUCGUUGUUUUAGUGGGAAGGAAAGCUUCGGGAAAUCUACUGGCGCCGUUCAAAGAAGCCCGGAGAAAAAAGGGUUCAACACUAAUGAAGAAAUGAAAGGAGAGAACGAGCUCAAAAUCAAGAGAGGGGUAAAGAUACUGCACUUCGACAAGGCUAAAGGAAAGGAAUUUCUUUGCAUAAAUGAGUGCAAAGAUGCACAGUCAAUAUGUGACCAUCACUUGAACUUAGUAAAACCUCAUAAGAGAAGUAGUGGUUCCGGUUGCCUGGGUGUUACAGACCCGUCUAUCAAGAAACCUGCAACUAGGGCACUCAAAGGUCAGACAAGGGCUACAAAUAAAGGGCACUUUCCGAGUUCAAAUGCAAACCAGUAUUACUAUUAUUCUGGGUUCGGGCCGUUGCGAGGUAGAAGAAGGGAAAGGGGAGAAAGUACUGAUGUCAGAGAAACUUCCGUUCCAGUAACUGUUAAUGGUGUUGCUCAAAAUACAACGCCAUCUCCUAUACCAAUAAUUUAUAUUGAUGAUGGUUCUGAAGAGCGUGAUAGUGAUCACUGAGUGCCGAAGAGAGAAAUGUAGUGAAUGCUAGGUCCAUCGAGUCUUCAAAUUCUUUGCACAACAAAUUAAGUAGUGAAGGACCAAUUUUCUUCUGCGUUUAUAAUGUUUUAAUUCUUUGAUAGACAUCAUGAUUUGUGUUAAGAUGAGAAUUUUCUCUAGAGCAUGAAAUUAAACAAUUGCACAUGCAUGUUGUU